rnacentral:rRNA from 1 species
GAUGAACGCUGGCGGCGUGCUUAAUACAUGCAAGUCGAACGGAGACAAUAGCAAUAUUGUCUUAGUGGCGAACGGGUGAGUAACGCGUUGGUGACCUGCCCCGAAGAGGGGGAUAACAGUCCGAAAGGAUUGCUAAUACCCCAUGUGGUCAUAUGGAUUAGAUGCCUAAUGACUAAACGGAUUUAUUCGCUUCGGGAGGGGCCUGCGUCCCAUCAGCUAGUUGGUAAGGUAAUGGCUUACCAAGGCGAUGACGGGUAGGGGACCUGAGAGGGUGGCCCCCCACAAUGGAACUGAAACACGGUCCAUACACCUACGGGUGGCAGCAGUAGGGAAUAUUGGUAAUCUGGGAAACCGGGAACCAGCAACGCCGCGUGCACGAUGAAGGCCUUCGGGUCGUAAAGUGCUUUUUGAAGGGAUGAGGAAGGACAGUACCUUCAGAAUAAGCCUCGGCUAACUACGUGCCAGCAGCCGCGGAAACUGUAGUCGU